rnacentral:rRNA from 1 species
GGGCCCGCACAAGCGGUGGAGCAUGUGGUUUAAUUCGAUGAUACGCGAGGAACCUUACCAGGGCUUAAAUGUAGUCUGACAGGACUGGAAACAGUUUUUUCUUCGGACAGAUUACAAGGUGCUGCAUGGUUGUCGUCAGCUCGUGCCGUGAGGUGUCAGGUUAAGUCCUAUAACGAGCGCAACCCCUGUGGUUAGUUGCCAGCGAGUCAAGUCGGGAACUCUAGCCAGACUGCCGGUGCAAACCGUGAGGAAGGUGGGGAUGACGUCAAAUCAUCACGGCCCUUACGUCCUGGGCCACACACGUGCUACAAUGGUAGGUACAGAGAGCAGCCACGUCGCAAGGCGGAGCGAAUCUAUAAAACCUAUCACAGUUCGGAUCGGGGUCUGCAACUCGACCCCGUGAAGCUGGAAUCGCUAGUAAUCG